UCAAGCGAGACGACGGCGGGGGCCCCGGGCAGAGUUCUCUUUUCUUCUUAACGGUCUAUCACCCUGAAAUCGGUUUGUCCGGAGCUAGGGUUUAACGGCCGGAAGAGCCCAGCACUUCUGUUGGGUCCGGUGCGCUCUCGACGUCCCUUGAAAAUCCGCGGGAAGGAAUAAUUCUCACGCCAGGUCGUACUCAUAACGCUU
rnacentral:rRNA from 1 species